rnacentral:rRNA from 1 species
UACGUAGGGGGCAAGCGUUGUCCGGAUUUACUGGGCGUAAAGAGCGCGUAGGCGGAGAUCUAAGCGUGGCCUGAAAGCCCCCCGGCUCAACCGGGGAGUGCGGCUGCGAACUGGGUUUCUUGAGGACGAUAGAGGAGAGUGGAAUUCCUGGUGUAGCGGUGAAAUGCGUAGAUAUCAGGAGGAACACCCGAGGCGAAGGCGGCUCUCUGGGUCGUACCUGACGCUGAGGCGCGAAAGCAUGGGGAGCGAACAGG